rnacentral:rRNA from 1 species
UACGUAGGGCGCAAGCGUUGUCCGGAAUUAUUGGGCGUAAAGAGCUCGUAGGCGGUUUGUCGCGUCGGCUGUGAAAACUCGGGGCUCAACCCCGAGCCUGCAGUCGAUACGGGCAGACUAGAGUGCGGUAGGGGAGACUGGAAUUCCUGGUGUAGCGGUGAAAUGCGCAGAUAUCAGGAGGAACACCGGUGGCGAAGGCGGGUCUCUGGGCCGUAACUGACGCUGAGGAGCGAAAGCGUGGGGAGCAAACAGG